UUGCCGGGGUGAGGGUCGCUGUGAUGU
rnacentral:piRNA from 1 species